rnacentral:lncRNA from 10 species
CUGACAUAUGGGAGGGUGGGGUCACCAUGAGGAUGGUCACAGUUCUGCGUGCUGCUAAGAUACCUCUCUCUGCAUUACUGGACCAGCCACUGGGAGCCCAGAGGAGGAUUAUCAAUGGGUUCCAUUUCUGGAACUGGGGCCAGGACAAGGGGUUCCAACAUCUCUUGGCAAACUCUCCCUGAGGCAGUGAGCUGUGACAGCAUAGUCAUUGUUGCUGGUCUUCUCUCAUCUCUCUGUUGGAAGAAAUGGAAGCAAAGAGAUGAGACACAGACAUGGGGCCAAGUCAACAAAAGAGCUAUACUUACCACCCCAGAUCUUUCUGCCCUGCUUUCUAGUAAGGUGAAGGUGUAAGGGGCCAUAAAAAUUUGCUGAAGGAGAAAGUAAUGCAGCGGAGCCUCUUUAAUGGGUUAGUUUUUUGUGCUGUGAUGAGACCUGCAGGGAACACCUGUGCCUCAUUUAUUCCUUAUUUAUCAUAUUUCUUGGUUUUCAUGUUGACUACAUUGUGUAUAUAAUAAAACAAGAAGGAGAUACCAGUAUGUAAAGUAGUUCUGGAUAGAGUAUGGAAUUGGGCUGCCAAUAGCAUGAUGCAGGUGAGAUGGGCUAGCAUCAAUCUGUGUCCUCUUCUAGAUCAUCAGGAUAGUUGCCAACAAGGUCACAGUGGACUCCAUGGAGAAACUGCCCUCAGGAGGCAACAGGUGUGUGAGGAUGGCUCUUUACUUAUGAUGCUUCCUUCCCAAGAUGUUCAUUUACAUCUGAAAUGUAUUUAAGCAUUUUCCCCCGAUACUGUAUGCUGAUGGAGCAGGUGAGCUCAACCUAUAGGCCAUAAAAAGUGGAAGGGAGGCUGCCCAAGAAAGAUAAGAAAGAUAAAUACUUGUUAAUGAAGACAAUGAAUUGAACUCACUUUCAAAAAUCUAUGUGAUCAUCCUAAGGCUGUAUUAAAAUGAUUCUUCUUUUAACAGAGACAUAUUUUUACACUUUCCCAGGGAAAAAAAUCACAUAGUUCUUUAGGAUCUAUUUUCAAUUUGAAUAAAUGAGUGGGGAGCAGGUGGAUUUUGGCUCCUAGUCUCUCCACCCUCAUGAGUCUUUCUCUGUGGGAAGGAGAGAGAAUUUCUCAGUGGAAUAGUGAAUUCCAAAACAGCAUGUUUCAGUAACACAUUUCAG